AGAGUUUGAUCAUGGCUCAGAUUGAACGCUGGCGGCAUGCCUUACACAUGCAAGUCGAACGGCAGCACGGGAGCAAUCCUGGUGGCGAGUGGCGAACGGGUGAGUAAAGUAUCGGAACGUGCCCAGUCGUGGGGGAUAACGUAGCGAAAGUUACGCUAAUACCGCAUACGAUCUAUGGAUGAAAGCGGGGGAUCGCAAGACCUCGCGCGAUUGGAGCGGCCGAUAUCAGAUUAGGUAGUUGGUGGGGUAAAGGCUCACCAAGCCGACGAUCUGUA
rnacentral:rRNA from 1 species